rnacentral:rRNA from 1 species
AACUUUCAACAACGGAUCUCUUGGUUCUGGCAUCUAUGAAUAACGCAGCGAAAUGCGAUAAGUAGUGUGAAUUGCAGAAUUCAGUGAAUCAUCGAAUCUUUGAACGCACAUUGCGCCCCUUGGUAUUCCAUGGGGCAUGCCUGUUCGAGCGUCAUUU